ACGCUCGACACCUACGGGAGGCAGCAGUGGGGAAUAUUGCACAAUGGGGGAAACCCGUGAUGCAGCGACGCCGCGUGAGUGAAGAAGUAUUUCGGUAUGUAAAGCUCUAUCAGCAGGGAAGAAGAUGACGGUACCUGAGUAAGAACGCCCCGGCUAACUACGUGUCAGCAGCCCGGCGGUUAAUCUGGAGCGGGCUGGCAAGGC
rnacentral:rRNA from 1 species